rnacentral:rRNA from 1 species
GGGAACCUGCGGAAGGAUCAACCCCUGUGGGUAUAGUGAG